AAUUACGAGCGCAAAUAAAAAUCUAAAUAUAUAACGAGGAAAAUACAUUUCGAUUUAUUCUCUUGGUUCAAAAUGAUAUUUGAUAUAUGCAUCAUGAGAAACGUAUCUGACAGACGCCGUCCCGAAUCAUGAGAAUCAAUAGUGUUUCUCAAGACUAUAAACUCGUAACUUAUAUGUUAUGUGUUUAAUAAAUCCAUCUUUUUUCAUUUCUUGGCUUUUAUAAUCGAAGCUUAACGCUUUGACAACCGGCUUUAAUUCGCAUCAAAUAUUAUUUUUGCUACGUUUGUAACUUUGAAUACUUAGGAAAUGGUAGUUCGAUGUUCGAAAAUUGUCAACAGCUUGGAGUAUGUGGCAAAUAGAAAGGUGGGAGUAAUCAUUUUAAAGGAACGAACAGAUGCGUAUAUCGUGCGCUAGUAGUUAAGUGCGUGCGUGGCGCUAGUGUCGCGUCAAAGUGAAGAUGGUAGUGCAGAUCUUACGAAUGAUUUCUUUUCGAGUUGCAAUUCUUGAAACUUGCACCUCAGAGAAAGCGUUUCGAUGUAGGUUACUCGAGCAAGAAGAUAAGCUUUGCUACGUUGUCUCGUUCGAUCGAGAACGCGUUCAGAAAUUUCUGUUGCGCCUUUAAUCGAGACGUGUAUUAUAGAUAACACUUUAUAAAUUAACAUGUAACUUUUGAUCAAUUAUCUUCGAUGAAAUUGUAGAUCUUCGUUUAACGACUAUGUUAAAUAUGUUAAGAGGGUUAAAUAAGAAAGGAAUGCGAUUUCGAGAGGACUUUAUAUCCUAUAUGCAUAAGAAAAUAGAAGGAAAUUUGUGAAAUCUAGAAUAUAGAAAAUCGCAAGAAUAUGAAGGCUUCCUUUAAUAAUUAACAGAAUUCCAGAGGUUUUGAAAUUUCCGGGAUCAAGAAUUACACGUUACACUUCUAUGUGGAAAGUUUUUGCAAGGUAUAAUUUCCACGCCUCGGCAAACGAACAGAACUGCGAGAUUUAUUGAAGAUAAUUUAUAGAAUUUCAGACUAAUAAAUUUGCGAAAUUCGAAAGCGAUAAAGGAAAUGCCAUCGUGCCGCAACGCCGAUAGAAAAAGCAGGCGCGGCAAAGAUUUCGUUAAUGUUAAUAGCCAUCUACAAUUAAAUUAAAGGAAAAAUAUUCAACAUGGAUAAAUGUUUAUCGAUAUACUUGCUGUUAAUAGAGCUACAUUUUUCAUUUAGAAAGAUUAAAUGUGCACGGUAAAAUCCGCCGAUACUUAUAUAUUGUAAAAAUCGGUAUUCUAAUGGAAACUAUCUCGAACGUACUUUCCUUCUAGUUAGUUUCACCUAAAGUAAAAACUUAAUUUGACUAAUCGAUGUACUUUUUUAUGAUUAUAUUAGCCACAUCCAUAUUCAUGAAAUUGUAUCGUGUAAAAUAUCAGAAGUUGAAAUGCUUUUUAGGCUUAACGAGCCAGCCGGACUUUGCAUUUAAAUGAUAGAUGAAUGAGUAGGAAAUGUAUGAAUGUAGGAAAACGUCUUAAUCAGCCCGGGGCAAAAUUACAAAACCUUUGAUGCUGUAGGAGUAACAGGUAUCGAGAGCCACGAACAGAGGCGUUCUACAUUAAGUACAUACAAUUAAAGUAGGCCAAGACAUACUAAGGUAUGUAGAGCAGUGGUCUGGAGUAAGCACAGAGAUUAUUUUAUCAGCGAGAUUGUUGGUGUCAAAGCAAACGGGACGUUACGUGAAGCGCCAGAUGCACCUAUUAUCGUUUCCUUUGAAAGUUGCUUCUUGGUACUAUGAUAGUACGUUCGAUAUCAAAAUUAAUAGGAAGACAUGGAUGUUCAAGCGAGAGAACGUUCAUUUUUUUCUCGCGUUGAGAAUUACAUACCCGGUAUUUUUUUCGUGCUAAAUCGCUAGAUUGAGAAUCCUUAUGCAACGCUAACUUGCAACGCAAGUAGAGAACUAGAAUGUAAAUGGAGAUUUGUUUCAUCUGCUAAUAAUAAGAAUUCCAACUAAGCUACCACGGCUUGGAUAUUUUAUAUGUUUCUGUAAACUUAUGUGCAUUAGAAAUUCCCACAUUGACAACUGUACGGUCAAUAUCUUUCUGAUACUGAAUCACUAGAUUAUUCGUUUUUAAGCAAACGUAUACUUUUAUAACGCAAAUAGAGAAGUAGGAUAUAAAUGGAGAUAUGUUCCAACUACUGAUAAUAAAAAUUAUAACGGGCACUGCAGUUUCAAUAUUUUAUAUGUUUCUGUACACCUAUGUAUAUUAAGAAUUCUCACAUUGAGAAUUGUACAUUCAAUAUCUUCUUGGAAUUAAAUUAUUAGAUUGUGAAUUUUUGUGCAAACCUAUAAUUGUAGGACUCAAAUAGAGAAGUAGAAUAUAGAUGGAGAUUUGUUCCAUCUAUUGAUAAUAAAAAUUAUAACAGGUACUGCAGUUUCAAUAUUUUAUAUGUUUCUGUACACCUAUGUAUAUUAAGAAUUCUCACAUUGAGAAUUGUACAUUCAGUAUCUUCUUGGAAUUAAAUUAUUAGAUUGUGAAUUUUUGUGCAAACCUAUAUUUGUAGGGCUCAAAUAGAGAAGUAGAAUAUAGAUGGAGAUUUGUUCCAUCUACUGAUAAUAAAAAUUAUAACAGGCACUGCAGUUUCAAUAUUUUAUAUGUUUCUGUA